rnacentral:tRNA from 1 species
GGUCCCGUGGCCCAAUGGGCUAAGGCGCCUGACUACGGAUCAGGAGAUCGGAGGUUCGAAUCCUCCCGGGAUCG